AAAGCUAGCUUGCUCUUACAUGAUGUCGCCUUUGUGGUCCAUCCUCCUCGUGCUGGCAGCCUCCUCCUCAUGUGCCCGCUCGCAAGUGGCUCUGACUCAGGAAGGUCCGGUUGUGAAAAAGCCCGGAGAAUCCCAUAAACUCACCUGUGCCACCAGUGGGUUUACUCUGAGGAGCACAAAUAUGUACUGGAUCAGACAGAAACCUGGCAAGGGAUUAGAAUGGCUUGUGUACUAUUACAGUGAUGAGGACAAUGCUUAUUCCCCUGCCAUCCGAGGGCGAUUCACGGCCUCCAAGGGGGCCUCUGACUUCUAUCUCCAAAUGAAUGACCUGAAUGCAAAAGACACGGCCGUGUAUUAUUGUGCAGCAGGCACAGUGAGAAACAUCUUAGCAGACCUCAGACAAAAACUCUGGACUGCAGCCGCUUUGGAGGGAAGUCCUCUGAGUGGCACCAGUGAGCCAUAA